CAGUCCAUGCUGUUCUCUGCUUUCUACAAGACAUCUCUUCAGGCUUGAAACCGACAGCUGACCUGAUUCUCCUCUUUUUGGAAGCACACAUUUGUCAUCCAAGGGGAUACUUCUGAAUGUUUUUCCACUGAAACAAUGAUCCCUCUUCCAUGCGUGGCACACUCCUGAGAAAAGGCCAGUUCUAUGAGGUAAAAUUUACGAGAUGCCAUGGGAAGGUGCUAAACACCUGUCAGUCUACAUAGAGAAGAUGAUAAGCAAGUAAAGUGAAGAGUGCAAAAGAUGGUCCAUCACUGGGGAGACUAAGUCUCAUCACGCAACUGCACCUCGCUGUGUUCAGAACUCCAGAUCUGCUGCUGAUGGCAGUCUAGAACUUGGUGAGAGCUGCCAUCAUGUCUUCUUGUUACUUUUGUCUUUGCAGUUGCAUCUCAAUCAUGUACCAGUAAGUGGCUAUAAGCGUUUAAGUCUCUGGAGAAAAACCAAUAAUUGACAAUAGAGAAAACAAGUAUUGACUUGAUAAUUACCAGAAAGUUUUAG
rnacentral:lncRNA from 1 species